AACGCACGAGACCUGCGGACCUGCGGAGGGAUCAUUACAGAGUUAUCUAACUCCCAAACCCAUGUGAACUUACCUUUGUUGCCUCGGCAGUAGUUGCUGGGCGAGCCUACCCGGGAACGAGCUACCCUGUAGCGAGUUACCCUGGAACGACUUACCCUGUAACGCCUGCCGGUGGACUACUAAACUCUUGUUAUUUUUAAAGUAAUCUGAGCGUCUUAUUUUAAUAAGUCAAAACUUUCA
rnacentral:misc_RNA from 1 species